GCCCAAUAUUCCAUCAGGUUAUUCUAUGAUUUGUAUUCGAAUAGUGUUAGACCAUUCUAUAGCAAUCUGUCCUAUUCACAAAUGCUCAUAACUCCCUUCCCUUUCCACAGCUCCUUCUAAACCCUUUAUACCAAGAGAUGUAUCAAUGGAUAGCACUAUAUGCCUAUUUACCACCUGACACCCAAUACCAACUGAAUUAAAU